GACGAACGCUGGCGGCGUGCUUAACACAUGCAAGUCGAACGAUGAAGCGGGUGCUUGCACUCGUGGAUUAGUGGCGAACGGGCGAGUAACACGUGAGUAACCUGUCCUUUUCUUUGGGAUAACGGCUGGAAACGGCUGCUAAUACUGGAUAUUCAGGCUGCAUCGCAUGGUGUGGUUUGGAAAGGUUUUUUCUGGGAUUGGGUGGGCUCGCGGCCUAUCAGCUUGUUGGUGGGGUGAUGGCUUACCAAGGCUUUGACGGGUAGCCGGCCUGAGAGGGUGGUCGGUCGCACUGGGACUGAGAUACGGCCCAGACUCCUACGGGAGGCAGCAGUGGGGAAUAUUGCACAAUGGACGAAAGUUUGAUGCAGCGACGCCGCGUGGGGGGUGUAGGCCUUCGGGUUGUGAACUCCUUUUUCUCGCGAAAAAGGCACAGUUUUGGCUGUGUUGAUGGUAGUGGGGGAAGAAGCGCCGGCUAACUACGUG
rnacentral:rRNA from 1 species